rnacentral:SRP_RNA from 1 species
UCCCGGUGCGUUGGCAUGUGCCUGUAAUCCAAGUCACUGGGAGGCUGAGGUUGGUGGACCAAGUGAGCUGAGGAGCUCUGGGCUGCAGCACGCUAUGUCGAACGGGUGUCCACGCCAAGUUCGGUAUCGAUAUGGUGUUCCUGGGGGAGCCCGGGACCACCAGGUUGUCUAAGGAGGGGUGAACCGGCCCAGGUCGGAAACGAAGCAGGUCAAAUCCCCCGUGCUGUCCAGUAGUUGGGGGAUAAUACCUGUGAGUAGAUGCUGCAGUGCAGCCUUGGCAAAACAUUGAGACCUAGUCUUUC